rnacentral:rRNA from 1 species
CCUACGGGGGGCAGCAGUGGGGAAUAUUGCACAAUGGGCGAAAGCCUGAUGCAGCAACGCCGCGUGAGCGAUGAAGGCCUUCGGGUCGUAAAGCUCUGUCCUCAAGGAAGAUAAUGACGGUACUUGAGGCGGAAGCCCCGGCUAACUACGUGCCAGCAGCCGCGGUAAUACGUAGGGGGCUAGCGUUAUCCGGAAUUACUGGGCGUAAAGGGUGCGUAGGUGGUUUCUUAAGUCAGAGGUGAAAGGCUAGGGCUCAACCGUAGUAAGCCGUUGAAACUGGGAAACUUGAGUGCAGGAGAGGAGAGUGGAAUUCCUAGUGUAGCGGUGAAAUGCGUAGAUAUUAGGAGGAACACCAGUUGCGAAGGCGGCUCUCUGGACUGUAACUGACGCUGAGGCACGAAAGCGUGGGGAGCAAACAGGAUUAGAUACCCUUGUAGUC